rnacentral:misc_RNA from 1 species
AACUUUCAGCAAUGGAUCACUUGGUUCUGGCAACGAUGAAGAACGCAGCGAAAUGCGAUAAGUAAUGUGAAUUGCAGAAUACAGUGAAUCAUCGAAUCUUUGAACGCACAUUGCGCCCCCUGGUAUUCCGGGGGGCACACCUGUUCGAGCGCCAUUUCUACCCUGGAGCCCUGCUCUGUGAUGGGCCCCGUCCCCGCGGACGGGCCCGAAACCCGUGGGCGCCGUCGUCCGGCCCCGAGCGUAGCAAGAGAAAUCCCUCGCUCGGAGAGUCUGGCGGUGGCGGCCCCGACCCAUUUUUACAAGGUUGGCCUCGGAUCAGGUGGGGAUACCCGCUGAACUUAAGCAUAUCAAUAAGCGGAGGCU